GUACUGAGACACGGACCAGACUCCUACGGGAGGCAGCAGUAAGGAAUAUUGGUCAAUGGGCGCAAGCCUGAACCAGCCAUGCCGCGUGAAGGAUGACGGCCCUAUGGGUUGUAAACUUCUUUUGUACGGGAAAAAACCACCGGUCGUGAAUCGGUGCUGAUGGUACCGUAAGAAUAAGCAUCGGCUAACUCCGUGCCAGCAGCCGCGGUAAUACGGAGGAUGCAAGCGUUAUCCGGAUUCAUUGGGUUUAAAGGGUGCGCAGGCGGAAUAAUAAGUCAGCGGUGAAAGCCUACAGCUUAACUGUAGAACUGCCAUUGAUACUGUUAUUCUUGAGUGUUGUUGAGGUAGGCGGAAUGUGUCAUGUAGCGGUGAAAUGCUUAGAUAUGACACAGAACACCGAUCGCGAAGGCAGCUUACCAAGCAACAACUGACGCUCAUGCACGAAAGCGUGGGGAUCAAACAGGAUUAGAUACCCUGGUAGUCCACGCCGUAAACGAUGAUCACUCGAUGUUGGCGAUACACAGUCAGCGUCUUAGCGAAAGUAUUAAGUGAUCCACCUGGGGAGUACGGUCGCAAGAUUGAAACUCAAAGGAAUUGACGGGGGCCCGCACAAGCGGAGGAGCAUGUGGUUUAAUUCGAUGAUACGCGAGGAACCUUACCUGGGCUCGAACGUGGAAUGACAGUCGCGGAAACGUGAUCUUCUUCGGACAUUCUACGAGGUGCUGCAUGGUUGUCGUCAGCUCGUGCCGUGAGGUGUCGGGUUAAGUCCCAUAACGAGCGCAACCCCUAUCUUUAGUUGCUAACAGGUAAUGCUGAGAACUCUAAAGAAACUGCCUGCGCAAGCAGUGAGGAAGGAGGGGAUGACGUCAAGUCAUCACGGCCCUUACGUCCAGGGCUACACACGUGCUACA
rnacentral:rRNA from 1 species